UUGUGAUUAAAUGUUUGACGGACGGCGUAGAUUGAAAUCCAUCCUAUAAUUUCUCAAUGGAUCUAGUACUUAAUAUAAACGUUUUCUGCCUAUGAGCAUUUGCCAAAAUAAUGUCAACUUAUAAUUUAAUUAAUACAAUAUUAAUAUUUUGGAACGGAUAGAACGUCAUUGGAAUGGUUAUGUAAUAACACGAAUUGCUUUAUUUAUCAGUAUAAAGGUACUUUAGGUUUUUAUGUGGUUAAGUACAAUAUUCAGUUAUUGCGCUAUCGUACACAAAAGUGAAAAUUUAUAUCAUACAUAGAAAUUUACAUCUUUAGAACUAUUAAAAUUAUUAUAUAUUGUUUAUAUCUCAGAAAUAUCAACUUUCAUCCAUAAUUUCAACGACACCUUCAUCAUCUUCAUUACCAGCAUCAUCAUCGCCAAUCUCUAAAACUGAUGCGAUAGGUUUAUGAUAGCUGAAGUAAGAAACAAAAUAAAAAAUAAAAAACAAAUAAUUGAAUCAUAUUAACCGCCUUAGGGAGAUUCAUCGCUAAUGUCAAAGCUUAAAAAUCAAAUAAUUAAACUGUAAAAAUAUUUCAUGGCUGAGAUUCAAUCCCUCGACCUCCUGGUGUUUCGGCUUCGCAAUUAAAUUGAUUCAACCACAGACUGGUCCAUGACCGUAUGAUCAAUAAAUUGAAAUAGACGAACGAUAAUUAGUUAGAAGUUGAAAUCUUUCAUCCAAAAUUUCAACGACUUACGAAGAUAGGAACUUGUGGACACUACGGUCUUGGCCCAACGUCGUAGUGUCCACAGCCGUCAUACCCUAAACUCUUGGGUAGUAAGGUAUAUAAAAAGCUCUAGUGAGAUCCACAUAUUGCCCGACUAGGAGAUAGAUUGAGCUGUGUUGCAAACGCCGUUAAAAUAUUUGAGAGUACACGAAUGUUGCUUCCGCUAGAUUACAUUACAUUGGUACAAUUGCUAAUGCAGUUGUCAACACGAAUAACUAUUGGAAGUACAUCAUGAAGCUUGGCACAAUAGAAAUAAGUUGAGCGUGCCACUGUCCUGAUGAGUCCAUCAGACAUAUUAUUGCCGAUUGUAAGUAACUGGGUAAAGGGUCAGAUACAGAAGACAGAACGGGAACUUGGGAACGCAGGCUUAGCACGCAUUCUCAGCCUAUCGCCCUUACCACCGGCGGAAUUGUCGUGAAUCUACGCCGGAGGGACUAUACUUUAUAUAUAUAGAUAUAAAUAUGUUUACAUAAUAUAUAAAUGUUGAAAAUUAUACGUGACGAUAACACAUUAUUUGACCUCUGUUCGAUUGAUUGACAAACACGGCAAAUUUUUUAUCUUGAUCGUCUUUAUAAACCUACGAAUGUCACAGGAUAUCAUUAACAUCAGGUAGGUACGUUAGAUCGCUAUGAGUAAGUAUUUCCUGAAGGAAAUUCUAAGAAGUUUUUGUAUUUGGCUUACCGUCAUUAUCCCCAAAACGGGGCUAAGUUUUAGCAGCAAUUUUUCUUCAAAACUCUGUGUUAAAUAAAAGUCUAUGAAGACAUUAUAUUACCGUGUAGUAUUAUCAAGGUAUCUUUAUUAUAUGUAAGUGUUUUCGGUUGCAUUUUAAAUGCAAUUCGCACAUCCUUUAUAUGCGGUUUUGAUCGUUUUGUAUCAAACUUUAUUUCCAAGCUUUGAGUAUAUAUACUAGAGAAUUUCAAACUCAAUUAUAUACUUCGUUCGCUCCUGUAGUAAAACAUACAACAUGAAUUCAAAGGUAAUCCUGAUCGCUACAAUCAUGCUUGUCCUGGUUGAACUCAGCACUUCAGCAUCUCGUGUUCGUCGUGAAGAAACUAAUUCUGAAGGAGGUUCCGGUGGUGAUGCAUCUGCAUCCUCUAGCAGCAAUACUGAUUUCAUCAAUAACUUAAGUCAAAUGUUCGGAAAUGUGCCGAUGAGUCCUCAAGAUUUCAUGAAACCUUUUUUGAGUUUCAUAAAUCGGAAAGGAUCUCAAUAAGAGAUUGUGAUGAUUAAACAAUAUGCUUUCUUUUAUAUAAUUGUGCAAUAAAUGUGUUUGAAGCA